rnacentral:rRNA from 1 species
UACGUAGGGUGCGAGCGUUAAUCGGAAUUACUGGGCGUAAAGCGUGCGCAGGCGGUUUUGUAAGCCAGAUGUGAAAUCCCCGGGCUUAACCUGGGAACUGCAUUGGUGACUGGCAGGCUUUGAGUGUGGCAGAGGGAGGUAGAAUUCCACGUGUAGCAGUGAGAUGCGUAGAGAUGUGGAGGAAUACCGAUGGCGAAGGCAGCCUCCUGGGCCAACACUGACGCUCAUGCACGAAAGCGUGGGGAGCAAACAGG